rnacentral:rRNA from 1 species
UACGGAGGGUGCGAGCGUUUGUCCGGAAUCAUUGGGCGUAAAGGGCGCGUAGGUGGCCCGGUCAGUCCGUGGUGAAAGCGCGGGGCUCAACCCUGCGUCGGCCAUGGAUACUGCCGCGGCUGGAGCACUGUAGAGGCAGGCGGAAUUCCGGGUGUAGCGGUGGAAUGCGUAGAUAUCAGGAGGAACACCGGUGGCGAAGGCGGCUCUCUGGACCACAACUGACGCUGAGGCGCGAAAGCUAGGGGAGCAAACAGG